rnacentral:rRNA from 1 species
AUGAACGCUGGCGGAGUGCCUAAGGCAUGCAAGUCGAACGGGAUCCCGUCGCAAGACGGGAUUCAGUGGCAGACGGGUGAGUAACGCGUGGGAACGUACCUAAAAGUGGGGGAUAGCUCGCCGAAAGGCGAAUUAAUACCGCAUGUGAACGCAAGUUUAAAGUCGCAAGACGCUUUUAGAUCGGCCUGCGUCCCAUCAGCUAGUUGGUAGGGUAAUGGCCUACCAAGGCAACGACGGGUAGCUGGUGUGAGAGCAUGACCAGCCACAACUGCACUGAGACACGGGCAGUACACCUACGGGUGGCAGCAACCGGGAAUAUUGGACAAUGGACGAAAGUCUGAUCCAGCGACUCCGCGUGAGGGAUGAAGGCCUUCGGGUUGUAAACCUCUUUUGUAUGGGAAGAAAAAAAAUGACGGUACCAUACGAAUAAGGACCUGCAAACUACGUGCCAGCAGCCGCGGUAAUACGUAGGGUCCGAGCGUUUAUCCGGAUUUAUUGGGCGUAAAGAGUUGCGUAGGCGGUUUACUAAGUCUACUUUUAAAUCCUGGGGCUUAACCCCAGAACUGGAGUAGAUACUGGUAGGCUAGAGUAAUAGAGGGGGAGAUGGAAUUGUCGGUGGAGCAGUGAAAUGCGUUGAUAUCGACAAGAACACCAAAGGCGAAGGCAGUCUCCUGGCUAUUUACUGACGCUCAGGCACGAAAGCUGAGGGAGCGAAGCAGAUUAGAGACCUGCGUAGUCCCAGCCGUAAACGAUGGACACUAGAUAGUGGUUUUUAUCACUGUCGUAAAGCUAACGCGUUAAGUGUCCCGCCUGGGGAGUACGGCCGCAAGGCUAAAACUCAAAGGAAUUGACGGGGAACCGCACAAGCAGUGGAGCAUGUGGUUUAAUUCGAGACGAAGCGAAGCACCUCGCCAGGGUUUGACAUUCUUCUGCAAGCGCACGGAAACGUGUGACCUUCGAGGGUGAAGAAACGGUGCUGCAUGGCUGUCGUCAGCUCGUAUCGUGAGACGUUGGCUUAAGUGCCACAACGAGCGCAACCCCUACAGUAUGUUAUAUUCUCAUACUGAACUGCCUGUUAUCAAACGGGAGGAAGGCGGGGAUGACGUCAAGUCAGCACGGCCCUUAUGCCCUGGGCUACACACAUCCUACAAUGGCGAAUAACAACGGGCUGCAACACGGCGACGUGAAGCUAAUCCCUGAAAUUUCGCCUCAGUUCAGAUCGGAGUCUGCAACUCGACUCCGUGAAGUCGGAAUUGCUAGUAAUCGCGGAUCAGCAGGCCGCGGUGAAUACGUUCUCGGUUCUUGUACACACCGCCCGUCAAGUAGGGAAAGUUGGGGGUACCCGAAGACGUUUGCCUAACUCGCAAGAGAGGGCGACGGCGAAGGCAAAA